AUACGGAGGAUCCGAGCGUUAUCCGGAUUUAUUGGGUUUAAAGGGAGCGUAGGUGGACAUGUAAGUCAGUUGUGAAAGUUUGCGGCUCAACCGUAAAAUAGCAGUUGAUACUGUGUGUCUUGAGUACAGUAGAGGUGGGCGGAAUUCGUGGUGUAGCGGUGAAAUGCUUAGAUAUCACGAAGAACUCCGAUUGCGAAGGCAGCUCACUGGACUGUUACUGACACUGAGGCUCGAAAGUGUGGGUAUCAAACAGGAUUAGAUACCCUGGUAGUCCACACAGUAAACGAUGAAUACUCGCUGUUUGCGAUAUACAGCAAGCGGCCAAGCGAUAGCAUUAAGUAUUCCACCUGGGGAGUACGCCGGCAACGGUGAAACUCAAAUGAAUUGGCGGGG
rnacentral:rRNA from 1 species